CCUACGGGAGGCAGCAGUAGGGAAUCUUUCACAAUGGGCGAAAGCCUGAUGGAGCAACGCCGCGUGCAGGAUGAAGGCCUUCGGGUUGUAAACUGCUUUUAUAAGCGAGAAAUAUGAUGGUAACUUAUGAAUAAGGAUCGGCUAACUACGUGCCAGCAGCCGCGGUCAUACGUAGGAUCCGAGCAUUAUCCGGAGUGACUGGGUGUAAAGAGUUGCGUAGGUGGCCUGCUAAGUCUGGAGUGAAAGGUACCGGCUCAACCGGUACAGGCACUGGAAACUGGCGGGCUAGAGAGCAGGAGAGGGCGGUGGAACUCCAUGUGUAGCGGUAAAAUGCGUAGAUAUAUGGAAGAACACCAGUGGCGAAGGCGGCCGCCUGGCCUGUUACUGACGCUGAGGCACGAAAGCGUGGGGAGCAAAUAGGAUUAGAUACCCCUGUAGUC
rnacentral:rRNA from 1 species